AUUUUUCCGCCCCUCUCCCACAAUUGCCUCUCCCGACCUUGAUUACUUUUCUCACUCCAGCCCUUCUUGCCGUCAAGUCUCGCCGAUUCCUAUCCUUGUCGCCACCUCUACCUCCAACUACCUCUCUACUGCCCAUCUCGUUCCACGAACUCCUCCAACCUUAGGACAAUCUCAAGUACAAUCUUGUCUUCAUCACUCUUUGCUCUAGUCUCAUCAUCUUCCUCAUCACUUUCUACUUCAUGAGCCACUCAAACGCUAUGUAUCUUGUUGAUUUCAACUGUUUCAAGCCCAAGCCGAAGAGGAUUUGCACUAGGGAGAUAUCUUCAUGGAGAGAUAUAGUCUAACGGGAUCAUUUGCAAAAGAGAUUUUAGGGUUUCAAAAUUUGAAUUUAUUUGUUAUAUAUUCCAAAUAAGAUAACUAAAUAAUCAUCAAAUGUGGUGACUAAUAAAUUUUUUAGGGUGGGACUUGUUGCAACUAUCAAGGUAUGGCAUAUUCUUAUUUUGGACAACUUUUUAUCACAGCACUAAUUUCAUGAUCCUCCAUAUCUUUAUGCUUCGCAUGUAAAUGUUACUUCUAAUAUGGCUUUUCUGGCUUCAUAGGGAAAGGCAGUUAGAUGUAUUUUUGACUUGGCCUCAAUCACCUCUCUGGAAAAGAGUAAGGCACUAUAUGCUCAUUGGGACUCAGAACUGAUCAGUACUGUUAGAGAAAGGACUAAGCUAAUGAGAUAUAUAAGAGGGUUGAAGACCAAAGUCUAGAAGAUCAAGAAGAAAUUAGGAUGCAUUAGUGGCUGCUUGCCUCUACAUUGCUUGUUGAUAAGAAGACAAGCCACGCACUGUAAAGGAGGCGAUUUUGUUCUAAUCUUGGUAUGAACAAUCAAGCUGUUAAAGCUGCUCAAGAAGUAAUGCAGAAAUCAGAAGAGUUUGAUAUAAGGAUGCUUAUUUUGACUUUCAUCAAUAUGGUGUUGCUUCUACAAGGAAAAUAGCUGGCAAUAAGUAGAAGGUUUAGAUAUUGCUCUGUGUGAAUAUGAAAUUAGGAUAUUAACUCUUAAGAUGAGAGUUUUAUAAUGAUUUUGGCUGGGGCAAUUAACUUUGGAUUUGGCCUCAGCUCUUUGAGGACAGGGCUUCGUAUGAGAUUAUGGGUCAAAAAUAUAUUAAAUCUUGUGCUCUGACUUUGAUGAGUGCUAUCUGUAAAUAUUUGAGAAGUGAUUAAUCACUU